UGUAGAAGGGGGGGUAGAAUACCAGGUGUAGCGGUGAAAUGCGUAGAGAUCUGUAUGCAAUACCCGUGGCGACGCCGGCCCUCUUGGACAUAGACUGACGCUCCAUGCACGAAAGCGUGCGGAGCAGACAGGAUUAGAUACCGUGGUAGUCCACGCUGUAAACGAUGUCUACUCGGAGUUUGGUGUCUUGAACACUGGGCUCUCAAGCUAACGCAUUAAGUAGACCGCCUGGGGAGUACGGCCGCAAGGUUAAAACUCAAAUGAAUUGACGGGGGCCCGCACAAGCGGUGGAGCAUGUGGUUUAAUUCGAUGCAACGCGAAGAACCUUACCUACUCUUGACAUCCACGGAAGACUGCAGAGAUGCGGUUGUGCCUUCGGGAACCGUGAGACAGGUGCUGCAUGGCUGUCGUCAGCUCGUGUUGUGAAAUGUUGGGUUAAGUCCCGCAACGAGCGCAACCCCUAUCCUUAUUUGCCAGCACGUAAUGGUGGGGACUCUAGGGAGACUGCCGGUGAUAAACCGGAGGAAGGUGGGGGCGACGUCAAGUCAUCAUGGCCCUUACGAGUAGGGCUACACACGUGCUACAAUGGCGAGUACAGAGGGUUGCAAAGCCGCGAGGUGGAGCUAAUCUCACAAAGCUCGUCGUAGUCCGGAUUGGAGUCUGCAACUCGACUCCAUGAAGUCGGAAUCGCUAGUAAUCGUGGAUCAGAAUGCCACGGUGAAUACGUUCCCGGGCCUUGUACACACCGCCCGUCACACCAUGGGAGUGGGCUGCAAAAGAAGUGGGUAGCUUAACCUUCGGGGGGGCGCUCACCACUUUGUGGUUCAUGACUGGGGUGAAGUCGUAACAAGGUAACCA
rnacentral:rRNA from 1 species